ACUAGAAUGAAUGGCUAAAUGAAGACUGAACUGUCUCUUGCACCCAACCAAUGAAACUGAUCUCCUAGUCCAAAAGCUAGGAUAAACUCAUAAGACGAGAAGACCCUGUGGAGCUUUUAAACCAAGCCCAUUAAACAUGUUCACCUUGGUUUUCAGUUGGGGCGACUUUGGAGUACAAAAAACCCUCCAAUCACGGAACCUCCGCACCAAGAUAGACACAUCAAAUCUAACCCGACCCAGUAGUUUAACAUAAAACAACUGACUAAUGAACCAAGUUACCCCAGGGAUAACAGCGCCAUCCCCUUUUAGAGUCCUUAUCNACAAGGGGGUUUACGACCUCGAUGUUGGAUCAGGACCCCCUAAUAGUGCAACCGCUAUUAAAG
rnacentral:rRNA from 1 species